rnacentral:sRNA from 1 species
CCCAACUUCGCCCGCCCCCCUUCCCCUCUCUCCCUCCGUCUCUACGCCAUGAGAAUGGUCCGUGGAAGGUAGUAUUUCUCUUGCUGUCCCAGGUCGACUAGGCAAUUUGACAGCCAUACCGAAGAAAAGGAGAGAGAUAAACAUAGCUUCCAAUGUUGCUGAUGUUCGGGGGACGGCUUCCCCCUAUAUGUAUACCUUUGGGGAAUUAAGACUAUAGGCAUCGUUUGUCAAUGGAUAGCGACGACAACAGCGAGCCUACUGGAACUGAGAAAAAUAAUCUUUAGCGCCUCCAUUAACUCAAAUUUGGUCACACAUCUUGCUGCUAAUAUUAAUAAUUCAAUCAGUUAGAAAAGGAAGUGUGAAAAUUGUACUCGCACAUGGAAAGGACAUUUGAGCAUGUUCUACGUUCAGCCUAGAAAAACAGAAAAAGGGAUAUAAACGGAUCUGUUUUGACAUUUCCAAACAGCUCUGGCG